UGGGGAAUAUUGGACAAUGGGCGCAAGCCUGAUCCAGCCAUGCCGCGUGAGUGAUGAAGGCCUUAGGGUUGUAAAGCUCUUUCGUCCGGGACGAUAAUGACGGUACCGGAAGAAGAAGCCCCGGCUAACUUCGUGCCAGCAGCCGCGGUAAUACGAAGGGGGCUAGCGUUGUUCGGAAUCACUGGGCGUAAAGGGCGCGUAGGCGGCUUUGUAAGUCGGGGGUGAAAGCCUGUGGCUCAACCACAGAAUUGCCUUCGAUACUGCAUGGCUUGAGACCGGAAGAGGUUAGUGGAACUGCGAGUGUAGAGGUGAAAUUCGUAGAUAUUCGCAAGAACACCAGUGGCGAAGGCGGCUGACUGGUCCGGUUCUGACGCUGAGGCGCGAAAGCGUGGGGAGCAAA
rnacentral:rRNA from 1 species